rfam:Aedes albopictus isolate Foshan contig88511, whole genome shotgun sequence.
GGGUAGUUAGCCUAGUGGUUAAGGCUAUGGAUUGCCAUUCCGGAGACGGCGGGUUCGAUUCCCGCUCCGGUCG